AAGUACCUGGAGGAAGAGAAAGAAAAAUCGAUUUCCUGAGUAGCGGCGAGCGAAACGGAAAGAGCCCAAACCAAGAAGCUUGCUUCUUGGGGUUGUAGGACACUCUAUACGGAGUUACAAAAGAAAGUUAUAAAUGAAGCGGUCUGGAAAGGCCCGCCAAAGACGGUAACAGCCCGGUAGUUGAAAUGGCUUUCCCUCCAGAGUGGAUCCUGAGUACGGCGGAACACGUGAAAUUCCGUCGGAAUCCGGGAGGACCAUCUCCCAAGGCUAAAUACUCCCUAGUGACCGAUAGUGAACCAGUACCGUGAGGGAAAGGUGAAAAGCACCCCGGAAGGGGAGUGAAACAGUUCCUGAAACCGUGUGCCUACAAGUAGUUAGAGCCCGUUAAUGGGUGAUAGCGUGCCUUUUGUAGAAUGAACCGGCGAGUUACGAUUUGUUGCAAGGUUAAGCGGAAAAAGCGGAGCCGUAGCGAAAGCGAGUCUGAAUAGGGCGCAUAAGUAACAGGUCGUAGACCCGAAACCAGGUGAUCUACCCAUGUCCAGGAUGAAGGUAAGGUAAUACUUACUGGAGGUCCGAACCCACGCACGUUGAAAAGUGCGGGGAUGAGGUGUGGGUAGCGGAGAAAUUCCAAUCGAACUUGGAGAUAGCUGGUUCUCUCCGAAAUAGCUUUAGGGCUAGCCUCGAGGUAAAGAGUCAUGGAGGUAGAGCACUGUUUGGACUAGGGGCCCUUCUCGGGUUACCGAAUUCAGAUAAACUCCGAAUGCCAUGUACUUAUACUCGGGAGUCAGACUGCGAGUGAUAAGAUCCGUAGUCGAAAGGGAAACAGCCCAGACCACCAGUUAAGGUCCCCAAAUAUAUGUUAAGUGGAAAAGGAUGUGGGGUUGCUUAGACAACCAGGAUGUUGGCUUAGAAGCAGCCACCAUUGAAAGAGUGCGUAAUAGCUCACUGGUCGAGUGACCCCGCGCCGAAAAUGUACCGGGGCUAAACAUAUUACCGAAACUGUGGAUGAACCUCUUUAGAGGUUCGUGGUAGGAGAGCGUUCUAAGGGCGGUGAAGUCAGACCGGAAGGACUGGUGGAGCGCUUAGAAGUGAGAAUGCCGGUAUGAGUAGCGAAAGAAGGGUGAGAAUCCCUUCCACCGAAUAUCUAAGGUUUCCUGAGGAAGGCUCGUCCGCUCAGGGUUAGUCGGGACCUAAGCCGAGGCCGAUAGGCGUAGGCGAUGGACAACAGGUAGAGAUUCCUGUACC
rnacentral:rRNA from 1 species